rnacentral:rRNA from 1 species
CGUGAAUUUUGGGGGCUAUAAUUACCGGACCCCCACAAUUAACUUGGUUUCCAGCCAUUGUUUUUCGAAUUUUUUUCAUGCAUCCAAGGCUCGUUAAGAACUAGAUGGGGUAUCCCUACAUAGCGGGUGGGGACCCACGGCGAAUGGUUCAUCAAGUCUUCAAAAAAGAAUAUAUACGAUUGCAUUGCAUAUACUAACGGAUGCGAUCAUACCAGCACUAAUGCACCGGAUCCCAUCAGAACUCCGCAGUUAAGCGUGCUUGGGGCGAGAGUAGUACUAGGAUGGGUGAUCUCCCGGGAAGUCCUCGUGUUGCAUCCCUCUUUUAUGUUUAACCUUUUUUUUUUUGGUUAAAACUUUAUGACUCCAUAACUUUUAGACCGUGAGGCCAAACUUGGCAUGUGAUACCUUUUCGGAAAGCCCAAAGACAGCCCUCCGACGAAAGAAGCAGGACAAUGGAACUCUUCCAUUGACUCUUUGUCGACCCCAAAUUUUGACCUUUACGUACUUUUUCGGGAAUCGAA